CAGAUUCCAGAUGUGCCUGCUGAGCCACUGUGCCCCGAGGGAGGAGGACAGCCACCCAGCACAGGAGACAUGCCCAAUCAGAUGCCCAGGCAGGUGCUGGAGGUCAGCCAGGAGCUCCUGCAGUCCGGGGUCAUCACCCUCCCAGGGACCCGAGACCACCAGGGAAGAGCAGUGGUGCAGGUCUGCACGAGGGGCCCGCUCUGGUCCAGCAAACACAUCUCCAGCAUCGAGCUGACCCAGCUGUUGCAGUACCUCUAUGGCAUUCCCAGGAAAGAGGUGCGGGAGCUGGGGCUGGUCAUCCUGGUGGAUGCUCGCAAGGGUCCGGCUGCCCCUGCUCUCUUCCAAGCUCUGGCAGCACUGCAGAACACAUCUCCUCCCAUAAUUCAUAGUAUUGUGUUGUUGGUGAAUAAAGAAUCAGGAUUUAGGCCUGACAAGGAUAGAACAAUUCAGUGUGAGGUGGUCGGCUCCCUGAAGGCCUUGCACAAGCUUGUUGACAGCUCGCAGCUGACCACAGACCUCGAUGGCUCCUUUCCUUACAGCCACAGUGACUGGAUCUGCUUCCGUAGGAAGCUGGAGCCCUUCACCACAAAUUGCGAGAAUGCCAUUGUUUUCCUACAAAAUUCACUCCACUCCCUGAAUACCCACAGGACUCUAAGCACGGUACAGGAGGUCACAGACUUAAUCAGCAAGCAUAAAGCAACGAUGAAUUGUGUGCUGGAAGACGCACUGCUGGUCGCCCUCCGGCUAGAGGGUGGUACCGUGCUGGCGCAGCUGAGGAGGGAGCAGCUUGGCACCAGCCAAGACUGCCGGGAUGCCAUUGAGGUCGCCUCCAGGCUGUACAACCAAGUGGACGAAGAGGUCCAUCGGCUUGUCCUCGCCUCCAACAGGUGUCUGCAGGAGCUGGAGAGGCUACGGGAAGGGAGGACGCUCCAGGAGGGACAAGGCCAGGUGGAUGGAUGGAUGCAGCAGUGCGGUGAGUGCCUGGAGUACCUGGGCCCGGAGCCAGUCACUGAGUAUCUGGAGACCUGUCACCGGAAGGCCACAGAGCUGACUGCGCAGGGAUUCCCGGGGGCCAGCGUGGUGGCGGCAGGCCUGGGCAGCCAGCGGCCACCGCAUCAGAGGCACACCUUAGGGCUGCAGAGCCCGCAGACCCGCCUCUGCUUCCAAGAGGCCCUGUCUGGGGUUAGCCCAGACCCUGGCACCCCACCUCUGGACCAGAGAGCCCUGAAGCAUGAGCUUGCUCAGUCGGCCAAGAGGAGGCACCAGGAGCCAUCCUGGACCCCCCCCACUGACCCAGAGGGCUGCACUGGGGAGCGGGCCCAACUGCUGCCUGGCCUCCCUGGACAAGCCUCUCUGAGCAGGCAGGAGGGUGAGCACCUGGCCCCGGCUGUGCCUUCCCCGCAUGACAGCCCCACCUGCUCCUCCACGCCCAUCCAGACACCUACCACCCACCCCAGGAAACAUCCCCUGAAGAAAAUUAUGAGGAAAACACGAAGCUUUGAGAUUGCACGGCUUGACAGUGGCCCCAGGGAUGCCCCCUGGCCAGGCCACACCGGGGUCUUCAUCAGGGGCCUAGAGGUGACCAGCACCGUGGCCUCCGAGAAGCAGCCCCCACCACAGCCACAUGCUGAGAGCGCCCUGGUCACUCGGAACCGGAGUCUGUCCUCUCCCUCCAGGACCCACCCCUCUGAGGAGGACAGGAGGAGGCAAGCAGGAAGCAGCCGACUGCAGCACAUAAUGGCCGAGAUGGUUUCCACGGAGAGGGAGUAUGUUAGGUCCUUAGGGUAUGUCAUCGACAACUACUUUCCAGAAAUGGAAAGAACGGACCUGCCCCAGGACCUUCGAGGGAAGCGCAGCAUUGUUUUUGGGAACCUGGAGAAGCUCUACGACUUCCACCACCAGCAUUUCCUCGUAGAGCUGGAGCGCUGCCAGCGUGGUCCCUUGGCGGCGGGCCGCGGGUUCCUGAGACACGAGGAACAGUUUGGCAUGUAUGCACUCUACAGCAAGAACAAGCCCCAGUCGGACGCCCUGCUCUGCAGCCACGGCAACGCCUUCUUCAAGGACAAGCAGCGGGAGCUGGGCGACAAGAUGGACUUGGCCUCCUACUUGCUGAAGCCCGUACAGCGCAUGGGCAAGUAUGCGCUGCUGCUGCAGGACCUGGUCAGGGAGGCCAGCAGCUGCCCCGCCUGGGAGCAGGAGCUGGGUGAGCUUCGGGCUGCCGAAGACGUGGUCCGCUUCCAGCUGCGUCACGGCAAUGACCUGCUGGCAAUGGAUGCCGUCCGAGGCUGUGACGUGGAUCUGAAGGAGCAGGGGCAGUUGAGAUGCCAGGACGAGUUUAUCGUGUGCUGUGGAAGGAAAAAGUACUUGAGGCACGUGUUCCUCUUUGAAGACCUCAUCCUGUUUAGCAAGACCAGGAAGGUGGAUGGGGGCUAUGACAUCUACACGUACAAACAGUCCUUCAAGACAGCAGAGAUUGGGAUGACGGAGAACGUCGGAGACAGCGGCUUGAGGUUUGAGAUCUGGUUCCGCAGGCGGCGGAAGUCCCAGGACACCUACAUUCUCCAGGCCAGCUCUGCAGAGGUCAAGACGGCCUGGACCCACAUGAUAGGGCAGAUCCUGUGGCAGCAGGCUCUGCGGAACAGAGAACUCAGAAUGCAAGAAAUGGUGUCAAUGGGGAUAGGCAACAAACCGUUCAUGGACAUCCAGCCCAGCAAGGCAGCCAUAAGUGACCGGGCUGUCAAGAAGGGAGCAGAGUCAUGGACCCGAGCACUGAUGGUUGUUCCCCUCUGUGAGCACACCGCCACCUUUAAGAGGCCACACUCCACCAUCUCUGACAGCAGUACCUCCUCCUCCGGCAGCCAGUCGUCCUCCGCCCUGGGGCCACUGAGCCUGCAAGCAUCUGCCAGCCCAGCCCUGCUGAGCUCCGCCUCCUGGCCCAGACCUUACAACAUGCGCACCUGCCUCGAGGAGGAGGAUGAGUUGGAGCAGGAGACGGGGAGCCAGCCUUCCAUGCGUGAGUGCGCCUAGCAGCACACGCUCCAGCCUCCAACAGCUGGGUCCAGGGGUGGGCGGCAGUUCACCUGGUCAUUUAACUUGCUUGCUCUUAUAUACUUCCAAAAGUCUUCAAACACAUUAUAAUUUUUCUUUAAUUAAAAAAACAACAAAAACGUUCACUUCCACCUAAAACAAGGUGACGGAGAAUAGAUUUAAAACAACCAAGCAAACGAAAACCAGAUAAAACAAAACAUGAGCAAAGUAUAUGAAACAAGAUUUUAAGACAUAGGACAUCUGGCACCAAAGGUAAUGACCUGAGAGACAGGACUGUGAUGUGAGCCCUGUAAUUGCUCUGAUUUCUCCCUUGAAAGCCCCCGGGUGCAGUACGGAGAGCCUGCAGACCCUCAGUGAAGGACAGGCCGGGGGAGCCCCGCCCGGUGACAGGCCUCCAAGGUCUGGGUCCAGCAGAAGGCUGGUCAGCACCGCACCAAGGUCUGGGUCCAGCAGAAGGCUGGUCAGCACCGCACCCGAGGAGGCUGUCCAGGCCGGAACAUGUGGAGGACUAGAGAGUACCGCCCCCCCCACACACACACCUGUUCCCAGUAGCAGACGGGCAACAGCCCCAUCCCCAGGGCGGUGGUAAGUCCUCAGGAGGGCUUGCUCAGGAGGGGUGUUGGACUGAACAUUCCUGCUGACCUGCCACCAUGUCAUAAAUACAGGGCGUUUGCAGGUAAUCUAACUGCAUCCCAGAGCAAAGCCUAAGGAGAUUUAUAGGAUUACAAAAAUAUCCAGCAGCCGACAGGGUAGAUACACACUGUCUGGUGCUAGGCAUGCAAGGAAGUAGGAAACGGACCAUAACAAGAGCAAUAAUCAGGCAAAACCAGCUGGAACUGAUGUGGUUGUUAGAAUUACCAGUCCUGGCAUUCACACUAUCAUUCUCUGUCCCUGAUGUCCAAAAUGUUCAGUCACAACAGGGAAGAUAAGACGGACUAAGCACGAUAAAAGGCCACAAUACUUAAGGUGAACGUGUCACUGGGUAGGGUUAACAUAAAGCAUGACUUAGUGGAGAUGUAUCGAUAGAAAUUAUCCAAAGUGACACACCGAGAAUCAAGGAAGAAGAUCGGUGAGCCGUGGGACAACUCCGAGUGACUUCAUAAACACGUAAUAGAGCCCCAAAAUGGAGGGACAACAAAACUUUGAAGGAACAGUGGCUGAAUAUUUCCCUGAUUUGGUGAAGGGUGUAAACCUACAGGCCCAAAGGCCAAUGAGCCCCAAGCACACAUGAAUGCACAUCACAAACUGGAAACCUGGUGACGAACAGAAAGAACAUCUUGAAAGCAGCCAGAGAGAGUCGGCGUGUUCUGCGCACAGGGACAGUGCAGGGUGGCAGCACAUUUCUCAUCGCAGACGACGGGGUGGGGGAGGGACAGUUAGAAUGAUCUGAAAGGAAAAACCAUCAAACUGGAGUUCAGCGUGACAAAUAUGUCUUUCAGAAAUGGUGACACAAGGACAUUUUCAUGCACAUGAAAGCUGAAACCGUUCCUCAGCAGCACACGUGAAAUGUUAAAGGAUGUUCUCCAGGGAGAAGGACAGUGACACUAGGUGGAACAGAGGCGGCAGAAAGGAAGACUCUUCUGUUGAAAGCUCUUGACGGAGUGCACGUCAUCGGGGGACAGUGGCCUUGGGCUCCCAGGGCUGUUCUCUG